rnacentral:rRNA from 1 species
UGAGGAAUAUUGGUCAAUGGGCGAGAGCCUGAACCAGCCAAGUAGCGUGCAGGAUGACGGCCCUAUGGGUUGUAAACUGCUUUUAUAUGGGAAUAAAGUGAGGGACGUGUCCCUUAUUGCAUGUACCAUACGAAUAAGGACCGGCUAAUUCCGUGCCAGCAGCCGCGGUAAUACGGAAGGUCCAGGCGUUAUCCGGAUUUAUUGGGUUUAAAGGGAGCGUAGGCUGUUUGUUAAGCGUGUUGUGAAAUGUAAGAGCUCAACUUUUAGAUUGCAGCGCGAACUGGCAGACUUGAGUGCGCACAACGUAGGCGGAAUUCAUGGUGUAGCGGUUAAAUGCUUAGAUAUCAUGACGAACUCCGAUUGCGAAGGCAGCUUACGGGAGCGCAACUGACGCUAAAGCUCGAAGGUGCGGGUAUCGAACAGG